UACGAAGGGGGCUAGCGUUGCUCGGAAUCACUGGGCGUAAAGGGGUGCGUAGGCGGGUCUUUUAAGUCAGAGGUGAAAUCCUGGAGCUCAACUCCAGAACUGCCUUUGAUACUGAGGAUCUUGAGUUCGGGAGAGGUGAGUGGAACUGCGAGUGUAGAGGUGAAAUUCGUAGAUAUUCGCAAGAACACCAGUGGCGAAGGCGGCUCACUGGCCCGAUACUGACGCUGAGGCACGAAAGCGUGGGGAGCAAACAGG
rnacentral:rRNA from 1 species